GGCACACUAGUCCAACAGGCAGAGACAAACGACUUAAAAUCGUUGCAGUAUCAGUUCGAAUCUGAUGUGUGCCACCA
rnacentral:tRNA from 1 species